GACAUCGGCACACAACAAAACAAAAGCCGUCGCUCAGAUCGCUGUGGCAGGAACGGGAGGGGAGCGACAGAACACUCCCCGUCAUCUCAUACAGAGUGAACUUUUCAAUUUGCUUGAUUGGCCGUGGAGCCGUCUGUCACCGUGGCAGCCUCAGAGCUCAAGACAUCGUCCCUGCUGCCUUUGAUGAAACCUCUAAUACUCAGAGAUCAAUUUACGGACGGCUGUCUCUCCAAAGAGCAGCUGCGUGUGAGCUGCGAGGUGCUGUCCUCCUGGCUCUGA